GCAAGUCGAACGAGCGAGAGAAAGCUUGCUUUCUCAAGCGAGUGGCGAACGGGUGAGUAACGCGUGAGGAACCUGCCUCAAAGAGGGGGACAACAGUUGGAAACGACUGCUAAUACCGCAUAAGCCCACAGCUCGGCAUCGAGCAGAGGGAAAAGGAGCAAUCCGCUUUGAGAUGGCCUCGCGUCCGAUUAGCUAGUUGGUGAGGUAAUGGCCCACCAAGGCGACGAUCGGUAGCCGGACUGAGAGGUUGAACGGCCACAUUGGGACUGAGACACGGCCCAGACUCCUACGGGAGGCAGCAGUGGGGAAUAUUGCACAAUGGGGGAAACCCUGAUGCAGCGACGCCGCGUGGAGGAAGAAGGUCUUCGGAUUGUAAACUCCUGUUGUUGAGGAAGAUAAUGACGGUACUCAACAAGGAAGUGACGGCUAACUACGUGCCAGCAGCCGCGGUAAAACGUAGGUCACAAGCGUUGUCCGGAAUUACUGGGUGUAAAGGGAGCGCAGGCGGGAAGACAAGUUGGAAGUGAAAUCUAUGGGCUCAACCCAUAAACUGCUUUCAAAACUGUUUUUCUUGAGUAGUGCAGAGGUAGGCGGAAUUCCCGGUGUAGCGGUGGAAUGCGUAGAUAUCGGGAGGAACACCAGUGGCGAAGGCGGCCUACUGGGCACCAACUGACGCUGAGGCUCGAAAGUGUGGGUAGCAAACAGGAUUAGAUACCCUGGUAGUCCACACCGUAAACGAUGAUUACUAGGUGUUGGAGGAUUGACCCCUUCAGUGCCGCAGUUAACACAAUAAGUAAUCCACCUGGGGAGUACGACCGCAAGGUUGAAACUCAAAGGAAUUGACGGGGGCCCGCACAAGCAGUGGGGUAUGUGGUUUAAUUCGACGCAACGCGAAGAACCUUACCAAGUCUUGACAUCCCUUG
rnacentral:rRNA from 1 species